rnacentral:rRNA from 1 species
UACAGAGGUCCCGAGCGUUGUUCGGAUUCACUGGGCGUAAAGGGUGCGUAGGUGGUGAGGUAAGUCGGAUGUGAAAUCUCCAGGCUCAACUUGGAGGCUGCUCCCGAAACUGCCGCGCUAGAGUGCGAGAGAGGCCAGUGGAAUUGCAGGUGUAGCGGUGAAAUGCGUAGAUAUCUGCAGGAACACCCGUGGCGAAGGCGGCUGGCUGGAUCGCAACUGACGCUGAGGAACGAAAGCUAGGGGAGCAAACAGG